rnacentral:lncRNA from 12 species
UCUCUGCCUCUGUAGUCACAUUACCGUGUCUCCUGUCUGUGUCAAAUCUCCCUCCCUCUGCUUCUCUCAUUUUUUAAAAAGAUUUUAUUUAUUUAUUGGGGGGAGGAGAGCACAUGAACAUGGGGAGGAGGGGCAGAGGGAGAAGGAGAAGCAGAUUCCCCAUUGAGCAGAGAGCCCAAUGUGGGGCUUGAUCCCAGGACCCUGGGACCAUGACUUGGGUGAAGGCAGACACUUAACCACCUGAGCCACCCAGGUGCCCCUCCCUUUGCCUCUCUCCUAUAAGGACACUUGUGAUUGCAUUCAGGGCCCACCUGGAUAAUCAAGGACAAUCUCUUCAUCCUCAGAUGCUUAAUUUAGUCAUAUCUGCUAAGUCUAUUUUGCUAUGCAAGGUUAAGAUUUGCAAUCUAAUUCAACGGUUAGACCUGAUGUUUGGGAAGGUCAUUACUCAUCCCACUAUCAAAGUGACAUGUCCAUAGUGAGUCAGUGGCAGAGACACACCCUGUCAAUCGCCUCUUCUCUUAAUCUCAUUAUUCCGUUCCUCCCUCUCUGCUCAGUAAAGAAGUGGUAGAAGGAAUUUGGAGUCCUUAUCUGGGUGACAGGUGGAAAAGGAGGUUGCCUGCCUUCAGGCUUUCUGGUACGAACUGUGUUUAAAUUUACUUGAAGGUUCUAUGAGGGGAGUGAAAAAAAAAAUAACAGAGUGGCAACCUUCCUACUAAAAAGAGAACAUGCCAGCUCAAGCCAAACGAGCCCUGUUUGCUGCUCAGCCCACUGCCAUGAGCUGGACAUGGGGGCUCUGUGAUCACAUCACAGGAGGUCGGCAAUGUCCACUGGGUAGAGGGAUGCCAACAGGCUGGCCUCUGUGGCCUGGGCUUCUGGAAAAUAUCCUGAAACCCAGCUCUUCCUGCAGGUCCCCUUGGCAGAACUCUGGGAAGCAGGAAGGCUCAGGCCUUGUUUUGAUCCUGAGCUGCCUGUCUGGGGGGACUGAUGAGAUGGCCUCCAGGAAUCUGCCUGCAGCACUGAGGCAAGCUGACAAACUCAGCUUGGCGAUAAGCCUAGAGUCAUCAGCAAGGAGUAGGAUCUGUCUGAGGAUUUUUCUCCUGGUCCAAGUCCAUCGUGGACUCAUGUUUGGGAGAGAGCUAUAUUGGGUAAGCAUGGAAAGGUCUGUUCUAAUCAAACCUUUGCAAAUCACUGG